GACCCCAGCCUUCUAUUGCUAUGACAACCGCUUCUAUGAGGACAUAGGGAGUAAAGAAUUGAGUGUGGGGUUACAGAGGGAACACACCAGAGUCUCAAUGCAUUAGUGAUCUCAGAACUGUAUGAUAAUGAAGAAGAGAGAUAAUAUGUCUCUACCUUCGAAUCUCGAAGUAGGGGAGCAGGAUGGGACGCAGCAGGAGGUUAAAGAAGCUUGGGGAUCCCCAGGGGUAGAAAACCCCUCCUUUAACACCAUUGAUAUAUCCUUGACACCCAUCCACAGCUUCACUGAUGACCUAGGCUAUCAAGGGAGCCAGGACCUGACCAGCUUAUUUCUAGUGGGAAGAUCAUUUUGACCCAAAUCCAAGGAUAGCUGUAAGCAAGUUACAAUGUCA